AAUAGAUACCCGGUAGUCCAUGCCGUAAACGAUGUCUACUAGCCGUUGGGUCCUUUGAGGACUUAGUGGCGCAGCUAACGCGAUAAGUAGACCGCCUGGGGAGUACGGUCGCAAGACUAAAACUCAAAUGAAUUGACGGGGGCCCGCACAAGCGGUGGAGCAUGUGGUUUAAUUCGAUGCAACGCGAAGAACCCUUACCUGGCCUUGACAUACUAGAAACUUUCCAGAGAUGGAUUGGUGCCUUCGGGAAUCUAGAUACAGGUGCUGCAUGGCUGUCGUCAGCUCGUGUCGUGAGAUGUUGGGUUAAGUCCCGCAACGAGCGCAACCCUUUUCCUUACUUGCCAGCAUUUUGGAUGGGAACUUUAAGGAUACUGCCAGUGACAAACUGGAGGAAGGCGGGGACGACGUCAAGUCAUCAUGGCCCUUACGGCCAGGGCUACACACGUGCUACAAUGGUCGGUACAAAGGGUUGCUACCUAGCGAUAGGAUGCUAAUCUCAAAAAGCCGAUCGUAGUCCGGAUUGGAGU
rnacentral:rRNA from 1 species